AUCCUGUGGAGACGGGUCUCUAUCUGCAUUGUGACGACAAAGCUCUGUGCCUGUCAACACUGAUCAGAACCUACACAUUAAAUACGUGUAAUUUCCUGUGUGUCACCAGCACCGUGACAAAGCUCUGAGGCAAAAGUAGAGAAGUGUGCAGAACCCUCUGUGGAAGACAGACCCUGAGCCAGCCCAUCUAUGAAACGCAGACCAGCUCAGAGACCUCAGCCACAAGAAAAGCAUGCCAAGGCCAAAAACUACGAGUUCUUUUACCCAUGAAACUCAGGCAAAGGUUCACAUCCUUCUCCUCCUCGUUCCCGUCAAGCUGCAGAAGGAUGUCACUGAGUGCAGGCCCACAGUACGCACCUCUUAAACAUCGGCAUGGCUUUCCCUGGACUGCGCAGGCCGGUUUUACCAUAAACACCAGUGCACAGGGAGACAAGGAGGGUAAGGGCACAAGGACCCUAGCUGCUCACCUUCAUUCCCUGAUGGACCCCCCCAACCUGAGUGGCCCCCACGCUCCGACUGUGCAGGGAGUGGUACUGCCCAGCUCCUGACCGCCCUGGUGUCUUCUGGAACCUGGGGCUCUGCCGACAGGGGUGCCGUGGGGGCUGGAGGUGGGAGGGAGACACCUCUUCUCCUGGGUACUUUCAGGGUACCCAGUCUCCGCUGGCUCAGCCUCCAGCAGUUCCCUUCUUGAUCACAGCCCCGCCCUCCUCUGCAGGCCCAGAUCUUGGCCUGCGGGCCCCUCGACAACCCCACAUUUCUGUCAGCCUCCCUCGUCCUGCGGGCAGCACUUGCUGCCCUGACACAGCGAAGCCUGUCGCCACCCGAGGUUGGCAUCUCUGUCUAGUGACCAGCUUUCUUCUAAGUUUUCAGGGCUCCA